CGCGUAGGCGGUGGUAUAAGUCUGAGGUGGAAUCCUACAGCUUAACUAUAGGACUGCCUUGGAAACUGUAUUACUUGAGUCGGACAGGGAAGGCGGAAUUCCUGGUGUAGCGGUGAAAUGCGUAGAUAUCAGGAGGAAGGCCUGUGGUGAAGACGGCCUUCUGGGUCUUGACUGACGCUGAGGCGCGAAAGCGUGGGUAGCAAACAGGAUUAGAUACCCUGGUAGUCCACGCCCUAAACGGUGGGCACUAGGUGUGGGAUCUGUAAGGGUUCCGUGCCGAAGGGAAACCAUUAAGUGCCCCGCCUGGGAAGUACGGCCGCAAGGUUGAA
rnacentral:rRNA from 1 species